UUGGGCUGUCGCCAAGCGGUAAGGCACUGGACUUUGACUCCAGCAUGCAAUGGUUCGAAUCCAUUCAGCCCAGCCAC
rnacentral:tRNA from 1 species